rnacentral:rRNA from 1 species
UAAUACGGAGGAUGCGAGCGUUAUCCGGAUUUAUUGGGUUUAAAGGGUGCGUAGGCGGUUUGAUAAGUCAGUGGUGAAAGUUUUCAGCUUAACUGGAAAAAUGCCAUUGAUACUGUCAGGCUAGAAUAUGGUUGCUGUGAGUGGAAUGUGUGGUGUAGCGGUGAAAUGCUUAGAUAUCACACAGAAUAUCGAUUGCGAAGGCAGCUCACAAAGCCAUUAUUGACGCUGAGGCACGAAAGUGUGGGGAUCAAACAGGAUUAGAUACCCUGGUAGUCCACACUGUAAACGAUGAUAACUAGUUGUUGGCGAUACACAGUCAGUGACCAAGCGAAAGCGAUAAGUUAUCCACCUGGGGAGUACGACCGCAAGGUUGAAACUCAAAGGAAUUGACGGGGGCCCGCACAAGCGGAGGAACAUGUGGUUUAAUUCGAUGAUACGCGAGGAACCUUACCCGGGCUCGAACGGUGCAGGAAUAUGGUAGAGAUAUCAUAGCUAGCAAUAGUCUGUAUCGAGGUGCUGCAUGGUUGUCGUCAGCUCGUGCCGUGAGGUGUCGGCUUAAGUGCCAUAACGAGCGCAACCCUUGUCGUUAGUUGCCAUCAGGUCAAGCUGGGAACUCUAACGAGACUGCCACCGUAAGGUGUGAGGAAGGGGGGGAUGACGUCAAAUCAGCACGGCCCUUACGUCCGGGGCGACACACGUGUUACAAUGGUAGGUACAGAGGGCCGCUAACCAGCGAUGGUGUGCAAAUCUCAAAAACCUAUCUCAGUUCGGAUCGGAGUCUGCAACUCGACUCCGUGAAGUUGGAUUCGCUAGUAAUCGCGCAUCAGCCAUGGCGCGGUGAAUACGUUCCCGGGCCUUGUACACACCGCCCGUCAAGCCAUGNAAGCUGGGGGUGCCUGA